rnacentral:rRNA from 1 species
GAACAAACGCUGGCGGCGUGUCUUAAGCAUGCAAGUUGAGCGGCAAGGAGGAGAGAUCCUCCCUAGAGCAGCGGACUGGUGAGUAACGCGUGGGUAAUCUAUCUUAGGCAUGGGGAUAGUCACUAGAAAUAGUGGGUAAUACCGAAUAAGUUCCAUAAGGGGAGGACUUAUGGAAGAAAGGUGCUACGGCACUGGCCUUAGGUGAGCUCGCGUCCCAUUAGCUAGUUGGUGAGGUAAAGGCCCACCAAGGCGAUGAUGGGUAGCCGGCCUGAGAGGGUGUACGGCCACACUGGGACUGAGAUACGGCCCAGACUCCUACGGGAGGCAGCAGCUAAGAAUAUUCCGCAAUGGACGGAAGUCUGACGGAGCGACGCCGCGUGGAUGAAGAAGGCCGAAAGGUUGUAAAGUUCUUUUGCUAGGGGAGAAUGAGUGUGGGAGGGAAUGCCUGCACGAUGACAAGGACUAGCGAAUAAGUCCCGGCCAACUACGUGCCAGCAGCCGCGGUAACACGUAGGGGGCGAGCGUUGUUCGGAAUUACUGGGCGUAAAGGGCAUGUAGGCGGCUUGGUAAGCCUGGCGUGAAAGUCUGCAGCUUAACUGUAGGGAUGCGUUGGGAACUGCUUAGCUUGAGUUACGGAGAGGGAGCUGGAAUUCCUGGUGUAGGGGUGAAAUCUGUAGAUAUCAGGAAGAACACCGAUGGCGAAGGCAAGCUUCUGGCCGACAACUGACGCUGAGGUGCGAAAGUGUGGGGAUCAAACAGGAUUAGAUACCCUGGUAGUCCACACAGUAAACGAUGUGCACGAGGUGCUGGGGCGGUAGUUUCAGUGCCGGAGCGAACGCGGUAAGUGCACCGCCUGGGGAGUAUGCUCGCAAGGGUGAAACUCAAAGGAAUUGACGGGGGCCCGCACAAGCGGUGGAGCAUGUGGUUUAAUUCGAUGGUACACGAGGAACCUUACCUGGGUUUGACAUAGAGGUAGUAGGGAAGCGAAAGCGGACCGACCCUUCGGGGAGCCUCUACAGGUGUUGCAUGGCUGUCGUCAGCUCGUGUCGUGAGAUGUUCGGUUAAGUCCGCUAACGAGCGCAACCCUCGCUGUGUGUUACAAGUGUCACACGGUACUGCCGAUAUUAAGUCGGAGGAAGGUGGGGAUGACGUCAAGUCAGCAUGACCUUUAUAUCCAGGGCUACACACACGCUACAAUGGCCAGUACAAUGGGUUGCCAAGCCGCGAGGCGGAGCCAAUCCUAAAAAGCUGGCCUCAGUUCAGAUUGCAGUCUGCAACUCGACUGCAUGAAGUUGGAGUUGCUAGUAACCGCAGGUCAGCAAUACUGCGGUGAAUACGUUCCCGGGGAU